GAUGAAUGCUGGCGGCGUGCCUAAUACAUGCAAGUCGAGCGAACAGAUGAGGAGCUUGCUCCUCUGACGUUAGCGGCGGACGGGUGAGUAACACGUGGAUAACCUACCUAUAAGACUGGGAUAACUUCGGGAAACCGGAGCUAAUACCGGAUAAUAUAUUGAACCGCAUGGUUCAAUAGUGAAAGACGGUUUUGCUGUCACUUAUAGAUGGAUCCGCGCCGCAUUAGCUAGUUGGUAAGGUAACGGCUUACCAAGGCAACGAUGCGUAGCCGACCUGAGAGGGUGAUCGGCCACACUGGAACUGAGACACGGUCCAGACUCCUACGGGAGGCAGCAGUAGGGAAUCUUCCGCAAAGGGCGAAAGCCUGACGGAGCAACGCCGCGUGAGUGAUGAAGGUCUUCGGAUCGUAAAACUCUGUUAUUAGGGAAGAACAAAUGUGUAAGUAACUAUGCACGUCUUGACGGUACCUAAUCAGAAAGCCACGGCUAACUACGUG
rnacentral:rRNA from 1 species